rnacentral:rRNA from 1 species
GACGAACGCUGGCGGCGUGCUUAACACAUGCAAGUCGAGCGGAGCGGCGAACGGUGAGUAACGCGUGAGUAACUGCCCCCCUCUCUGGGAUAACAGUUGGAAACGGCGGCUAAUACCGGAUAGUGGGGGAUGACACGCGUCCUUUCAGAUUGUUGGCUGGGUAGUGGCCUACCAAGGCGACGACGUGUAGCCGGCCUGGGAGGUCGACCGGCCACCUUUGGCACAGAUACGGCCCGAACUCCUACGUGAGGCAUCAGUGGGGAAUAUUGAACGAUGGGGGAAACCAUGAUGCAGCAACGCCGCAUGCGGGAUUACUGCCUUCGGGUUGUAGUCUUCUUUCAACCAUGACGCGAUGGUUGCAGAAGAAGCACCUGAUAACUACGUGACAGCAGCCGCGGUUGUUC